rnacentral:rRNA from 1 species
AUUGAACGCUGGCGGCAGGCCUAACACAUGCAAGUAGAGCGAGCGGCGGACGGGUGAGUAAUGCCUAGGAAUCUGCCUGGUAGUGGGGGAUAACGUCCGGAAACGGGCGCUAAUACCGCAUACUAUCGGAUGAACCCAUAUGGGAUGAGCCAGUAGGUGGGGUAAAGGCUCACCUAGGCGACGAUCUCUGACUGGUCUGAGCGGAUGAUCAGCCACACGGGAAUUGAGACACGGCCCCGAUCCUAACGGAAGGCACCAGUGGGAAAUAUUGCACAAUGGGCGCAAGCCUGAUGAAGCCAGGCCGCGGGUAUGAAGAAGGCCUUAGGGUUGUAAGGUACGUUCAGCGGGGAGGCGUUACCCGCAGAAGAAGCACCGGCUAACUCCGUGCCAGCCGCCGCGGUAAUAC